GACGAACGCUGGCGGCGUGCUCAACACAUGCAAGUCGAACGGAAAGGCCUGCUUUCCCUUGUGGAUUGCGGGUACUCGAGUGGCGAACGGGUGAGUAACACGUGAGUGAUCUGCCCCCAACUUGGGUAUAAGCCUGGGAAACUGGGUCUAAUUCCCGAUAGGACUGCAGGGUGGUGCCUGUGGUGGAAAACGAUUUUCUAGUGGUUGGGGAUGAGCUCGCGGCCUAUCAGCUUGUUGGUGGGGUAAUGGCCUACCAAGGCGGCGACGGGUAGUCGGCCUGAGAGGGUGGACGGCCACAUUGGGACUGAGAUACGGCCCAGACUCCUACGGGAGGCAGCAGUGGGGAAUAUUGCACAAUGGGCGGAAGCCUGAUGCAGCGACGCCGCGUGGGGGAUGACGGCCUUCGGGUUGUAAACUCCUUUCGACCGCGAGGAAGCCACCUGGUUGGAAGGGUGGUGACGGUAGUGGUAGAAGAAGCACCGGCUAACUACGUG
rnacentral:rRNA from 1 species